UUUCCGUAGGUGAACCUGCGGAAGGAUCAUUAUUGUAUAAACAAGUUCCGAGGUCUUACGCUAACGCUAAAGAACGGUCACCCCCGCGGGCCCUCACACACCUCCAUCUCACCCCUAUGCGCGCCACCGCGCGGGUCCGCCGUUGAACUGUUAGGAGGUUGGCUUACGUUUGCGGACAAACUUUGUAUUCAAUGAAGAAUGUAUUUUUUGUUUGUGCGUUCAAGCAAAAACUAAAACUUUCAACACCGGACCUCUUGGCUCUGUCAUCGAUAAAAAAGC
rnacentral:misc_RNA from 1 species